GUGGUAAUGCCGGAUGCUCCAGUUGACCGCAUGGUCCUCUGGGAAAGCUUUUGCGGUAUGGGAUGGGGUCGCGUCCUAUCAGCUUGAUGGCGGGGUAACGGCCCACCAUGGCUUCGACGGGUAGCCGGCCUGAGAGGGCGACCGGCCACAUUGGGACUGAGAUACGGCCCAGACUCCUACGGGAGGCAGCAGUGGGGAAUAUUGCACAAUGGGCGCAAGCCUGAUGCAGCGACGCCGCGUGCGGGAUGACGGCCUUCGGGUUGUAAACCGCUUUUGACUGGGAGCAAGCCCUUCGGGGUGAGUGUACCUUUCGAAUAAGCACCGGCUAACUACGUGCCAGCAGCCGCGGUAAUACGUAGGGUGCAAGCGUUAUCCGGAAUUAUUGGGCGUAAAGGGCUCGUAGGCGGUUCGUCGCGUCCGGUGUGAAAGUCCAUCGCUUAACGGUGGAUCCGCGCCGGGUACGGGCGGGCUUGAGUGCGGUAGGGGAGACUGGAAUUCCCGGUGUAACGGUGGAAUGUGUAGAUAUCGGAAAAAAAA
rnacentral:rRNA from 1 species